GUGUAAUCCGGUUACUACGAACAGUAAGAAGCAGACUAUUCUUAUAAUUUUAAAGGAAGGAAAGCUUGGAGCUAAUACCACUGAUCUUCUGCUCCACUUUCAGGCAUAAAAGAUUUCUUUUAUUUAACUGAUUCAGUUCAUCUCUGUGUAAUCUCCAUAUAACAUUUCUAUUAGAUUACACCAAAAUAUUUUACUUGAUUUACAAAUGGAUCUUUCUUCCAUUAAUUUGCUCACACAAUUCCAGAGAAGUGAGGUCAUGCUGCAGCAGUCAGUACAACACAUCAGUGAAGUGGGUUAAGUACUUUGGUUUUUUUUUUUUGGGGGGGGAGCAUUGUUUAAAAGAACUGUACAUGAUUGGGGUGCCACUGCUUGUAUUUUUCUUGGCACAGUCAUUUUGUCUUUAACUGAGACCCUGAAUUUUUUGCUUGAAAGAGAGUAGCUAAUUUGCUUUACUAAAUCAAAAAUUUUAAUUUGGAAAAUUAAUACAGCAAGCCACAAUGCCAUACAUUGAAGGGUUAUGCUGUGACAGAAAAAUCAAGCUGACUUGCAUUAAGCAAGUCUCUUUGGACUAUGUUUAGGAGAACUUUCUUCAAUGGUUUGCCCAUUAUGUGCAAGAGGCUAAUUGGACAUAAAUUUUGGGUCCUUACUGGGUUUUAGUUAGGUUUUCACUUCCUUCCAAUGUGAUGGAAAACAUACAUUCAGAACACCUGUCUAUAAUGACUUAUUUCUAAAAAUGACCAACUCAGUGGUGACUGCAUCUCUCCAGACAUGACCUGGAGCUUUUUAUUCAGCUGUAACCAGAAGUUUUCUGUUUGCAACUGGUGUGUAGACUCAAGUAGCUUCUACUGAAAUAAGGGGAGGCAGAUGUACAUCUGUCUUUGGAGGUUCCAAUAAUUUCUUAAAUGAAACUACUGCAUGAAUAUUUUAAUUACUUUCUUUUCUUAGCUGUGAAACUAACUACUGUUGAUAUUACUGUAAAGAUAAAUGGAUUCAGUUUUUGGAUUAAAUUUAUCUAUGAUAUUUAAUGACAAUGCAACAUAUGAGAUGGUUGGGCCAAUGAUAAGCUUUGGGACAAAAAAGACUGAUACAAAAUGGUGUUAAGCAUAUCUGGAAUCACCCUGCAGAAACACAGCAGGCACUUUGCUAGCCAUUAAUAAAAUGAACUGCUGCAAUAAAACAAAACCAAUCAUAGCAAUAUCUUCUGAAACAGACGUUAUUGUGGGGUAUUUGUGUGCAAUAGAGAUGGAUGUACUUCAUACUGAACUUGUUUGUUGUGUAAUAUUACAUGUAAAACACUGGAAUGUUAUAUGAAUAAUUAACAAGACAAGUUAAUUAUGAGUGAUGGUAUUUGCCUAAGCUCUACCAAAUUGUAUGAUAGAUCACUGAUAAAAAUAUCUGCUAAGUAAUAUAUCACUGAAAUCAUUGCCACCAGUUAAGAGCCUGUUAGAAUAUACAUUCACUUGUUGACAAUUAAUGAACCAGUCAAAAAGUACUUUCAUUCACAGAAAUAAAGACAAAGCAACACAAAGGUACAACUGAAAUCUUAUUCAACCCAUCGAAAUGUUGUUUGCACUUAAAUUUGCAAACAACAAAACUUGCACAUGAAAUCAGUCUGUUAUCUCAUCAUUGUUUAAAACAGCUGUUUCCCAAUCCUUUUAGUUCAUGGAAGUUUCAUUCAGUCAGUAGGACAGAUACUGAUAUGAAUGAGGAGUGUUAAUUUCUAGUGACACAUAUUUGGUACUGAAUUCUGAUUUGUACAUUAGGCCUACCAUGCUACUAAAUUGAAAACAAUGCAAAAGUAUUUUCAGUUUUAA